rnacentral:rRNA from 1 species
UUGCCCUAGUAACGGCGAGUGAAGCGGCAACAGCUCAAAUUUGAAAUCUGGCUUCGGCCCGAGUUGUAAUUUGUAGAGGAUGCUUUGGGUGCGGCUCUGACUGAGUUCCCUGGAACGGGACGCCACAGAGGGUGAGAGCCCCGUAUAGUCAGAUGCCUAGCCUGUGUAAAGCUCCUUCGACGAGUCGAGUAGUUUGGGAAUGCUGCUCAAAAUGGGAGGUAAAUUUCUUCUAAAGCUAAAUAUUGGCCAGAGACCGAUAGCGCACAAGUAGAGUGAUCGAAAGAUGAAAAGCACUUUGAAAAGAGGGUUAAAUAGCACGUGAAAUUGUUGAAAGGGAAGCGCUUGUGACCAGACUUGCGCCGGGCGGAUCAUCCGGUGUUCUCACCGGUGCACUCCGCCCGGCUCAGGCCAGCAUCGGUUCUCGUGGGGGGAUAAAGGUCCCGGGAACGUAGCUCCUCCGGGAGUGUUAUAGCCCGGGGCGUAAUGCCCUCGUGGGGACCGAGGUUCGCGCAUCUGCAAGGAUGCUGGCGUAAUGGUCAUCAGCGACCCGUCUUGAAACACGGACCAAGGAGUCAAGGUUUUGCGCGAGUGUUUGGGUGUAAAACCCGCACGCGUAAUGAAAGUGAACGUAGGUGAGAGCUUCGGCGCAUCAUCGACCGAUCCUGAUGUAUUCGGAUGGAUUUGAGUAAGAGCGUUAAGCCUUGGACCCGAAAGAUGGUGAACUAUGCUUGGAUAGGGUGAAGCCAGAGGAAACUCUGGUGGAGGCUCGCAGCGGUUCUGACGUGCAAAUCGAUCGUCAAAUCUGAGCAUGGGGGCGAAAGACUAAUCG